rnacentral:misc_RNA from 1 species
UGGAGCUGCUGGCAUUCGUGG